UAGGAAAUACUGCUGUCGCACUCGUUGU
rnacentral:sRNA from 1 species